CCAGCACCUGGAACCGGCCCUGGAUUUCUGUUCUUCACUGCAUAACCGAAGCAACUGCGCCGCUGCCUCCAGCUUGCAGCCCCCACCGCUUGGGGUGACAAAACACCACGAGAGACCGAGGUCCAGCAGGGGCGGGAGGGGGAACGGCAGAGGGUAAGGAGGAGGCCUAAGAAGGACACGGCACACACAGCAGCACAGCUAUUCCAAAGAUCUCAGCUCAGAGGGCACAGAAGCACCGAGAACGCCUUCAGAUCGAUCGGUGGAGGAAGCCUAGCACACCCCAUCCUCUGACCCACCCGCUCAAUUCAGGGGCGGCUUCCGGCGGCAAUCAAGCUCCAUCUACGCCUGCUGCCGUCUCGAUGCUUGCCAUCGCCGUCUUGGAGCCCUCAGCCAACUGGAAAAGGAGCAAGAAGCGAAACAACCACGGCAUCCGGUGCUGCUGUCUCAGCCACCCCAGCUGCUGGGCCUGGCCCUCCCCAGGGACCACUAAUGGUGGAAAUUAAGCUAGGA